CUGCGGCAGCGUACACAUGCAAGUCGAACGAACUCUUCGGAGUUAGUGGCGGACGGGUGAGUAACACGUGGGAACGUGCCUUUAGGUUCGGAAUAACUCAGGGAAACUUGUGCUAAUACCGAAUGUGCCCUUCGGGGGAAAGAUUUAUCGCCUUUAGAGCGGCCCGCGUCUGAUUAGCUAGUUGGUGAGGUAAAGGCUCACCAAGGCGACGAUCAGUAGCUGGUCUGAGAGGAUGAUCAGCCACAUUGGGACUGAGACACGGCCCAAACUCCUACGGGAGGCAGCAGUGGGGAAUCUUGCGCAAUGGGCGAAAGCCUGACGCAGCCAUGCCGCGUGAAUGAUGAAGGUCUUAGGAUUGUAAAAUUCUUUCAGUAGGGACGAUAAUGACGGUACCUACAGAAGAAGCCCCGGCUAACUUCGUGCCAGCAGCCGCGGUAAUACGAAGGGGGCUAGCGUUGCUCGGAAUUACUGGGCGUAAAGGGAGCGUAGGCGGACAUUUAAGUCAGGGGUGAAAUCCCGGGGCUCAACCUCGGAAUUGCCUUUGAUACUGGGUGUCUUGAGUAUGAGAGAGGUAUGUGGAACUCCGAGUGUAGAGGUGAA
rnacentral:rRNA from 1 species